UUUCGGUUAAUCUGUACGCUCAACGUACAGGCUGCCGGGAAUACUGCAGAGCUAGGGAGUGGGAGAGGUAGACGGUACUCGGUAGGAAGGGGUAAAAUCCUUUGAUCUAUUGAUGACCACCUGUGGCGAAGGCGGUCUACCAGAACACGUCCGACGGUGAGGGAUGAAAGCUGGGGGAGCAAACCGGAUUAGAUACCCGGGUAGUCCCAGCUGUAAACUAUGCAAACUCAGUGAUGCAUUGGCUUGUGGCCAAUGCAGUGCUGCAGGGAAGCCGUUAAGUUUGCCGCCUGGGAAGUACGUACGCAAGUAUGAAACUUAAAGGAAUUGGCGGGGGAGCACCACAAGGGGUGAAGCCUGCGGUUCAAUUGGAGUCAACGCCAGAAAUCUUACCCGGAGAGACAGCAGAAUGAAGGUUAAGCUGAAGACUUUACCAGACAAGCUGAGAGGUGGUGCAUGGCCGUCGCCAGCUCGUGCCGUGAGAUGUUGGGUUAAGUCAGGUAACGAGCGAGAUCCCUGCCUCUAGUUGCCACCAUUACUCUCAGGAGUAGUGGGGCGAAUUAGCGGGACCGCCGCAGUUAAUGCGGAGGAAGGAAGGGGCCACGGCAGGUCAGUAUGCCCCGAAACUCUGGGGCCACACGCGGGCUGCAAUGGUAACGACCAUUGGUUUCAAAUCCGAAAGGAUGAGGUAAUCCUCAAACGUUACCCCAGUUAUGACUGAGGGCUGCCACUCCCCCUCACGAAUAUGGAAUCCCUAGUAACUGCGUGCCCUUAUCGCGCGGUGAAUACCUCCCUGCUCCCUUGC
rnacentral:rRNA from 1 species